UUACUUCUUACUUCUUACUUCUUACUUCUUACUUCUUACUUCUUACUUCUUACUUCUUACUUCUUACUUCUUACUUCUUACUUCUUACUUCUUACUUCUUACUUCUUACUUCUUACUUCUUACUUCUUACUUCUUACUUCUUACUUCUUCCUUUUACUUCUUACUUCUUACUUCUUAUAAAAUCACCGUUCAAUUUCAGGGAACACACAAAAAAUCUUUGUGGCGUUCAAAAAACUGAUCUUGAGAAGCAACGUUAUGAUGGUAAAGGUAAGGUAAGUUCGAUAUUAGGAAGAGUUUAGCGAACUCAAUCUAGUCGAAUUUGAAUGGUUGAUUCCAUAUUAAAAUACAAAAUGAAUUUUUCAAUUUUUCAUCACUGCUAUUUUGCCCACCAUCUUGAAUUUAAAAAUUCUGACAAAAACACAACAAAAAAAGUAUGAAAAAUAUGUCUUUCUAUUUGUUGAAAAGGAAUUUUUUGCAAUUCCGUCGUGAAACUAUUUACUUUUCCUGUCAUUCUUGAACGACGAAAUAGCCUACUUUUCUGUACCAAAAAUAACAGAAUCGAAUAUCAACACUUUUCAAAAGAAAUGCUGAAAAGUUCUACUCGGUGAACCUCGUUGGAUAAAUGUACGACUCAUGCUGAAAAAAUCCUCUUUUUGCAACUUGUUGCAUAAACUACUAUUGUCUAUACACCCAAAGUUAAAGAACGAGGGGAUAGUACACACGAAAAGAAACGAGAGGAAAGUGCUAUUUUGCGAGAGUAUAGUCCUCUCGCGUGUUCAUUCGUUCAUUGGAACAGUUCAUCCUAUUGAGUGGCUUAUAUGGACACAUGACCGCCACUUAGUCACCGAAUCGUGGUGGCCCAUACGGCAAAGGCACGGUUCAAUAUGCCGAAGGUCUUGGGUUCGAGUCUCGGUACCGGUACUUUUUUUGAUAGAUGAACUUUUUUUGAAGAUGAACCCAUGAGUAAAGUACUCUCGGUAAUUUCGGGUUUUAUCCUCUCAGUUCGCACACAGUACCAUUUUACUACCGAAUCGUGCUCUUUAUUCUUUCGUAUGCCGAUGCCCAGUUCUGGGUGUAGGAUAAUCAAGUCUAGACUGUAUUUGUUUUCAAAAUCGAUUUCUUUUUAAAUUGCUGAACCAUUUCCUGAAGUUUACUUUUUUUUUGCCUUUCUUGCUGAAAAAAGGUAUAGGGUUUAACUCUUUGUGUAAAAACUGAAGCAUUUCAAUUUUGAAUUGGUAACAAAAAAUCUCUGCACACUAAAAAAAAUUAAUAUUACAUUAGACGUAAUUCUUGAUUAAACCGAUGAUAACAACAUGUAAUCGUAUUUUCGAUGUAAAUUUAGGUUUAUUUUGGCGUAAAUCGAUAAAAUUCUCACUGGUUUUCAUUUACAUCGUGCGUAACCUAAAAUUGCAUCUCAAAUAACCUGAUUUUACGCUAAAUAUGAUGCACAUAACUGGAGCAUCACAUUUAAUGUAAUUUUACAUCAAAUGAAACCCAAUUUUACGCACGUCAGCAGCUACACGAUUGUCAGAAUUGUUAAACGUCAAACCGUCAGCCAGCUUCGACGUCGCAGAGAAUAGCAUUUUUCAUCCAGAUUCCGUUAUUUUUUUCGUUUACUGGCCGGAACCUGCUACCGUUUUAGAGAAAACCAGUCAAUUCUCUGAUAGAGGUUGCGGACGGACAUCAUGGAACGCGAGGAAAAACACGUUUUAA